rnacentral:rRNA from 1 species
ACGAACGCUAGCGGCGUGCCUAAGGUAUGCAAGUCGAACGGAACCCUCGGGUUCAGUGGCGAACGGUCGAGUAACACGUAGUCAACCUGCCCUCCAGUGGGGGAUAACGGUGGGAAACCGCCGCUAAUACCGCAUGUCGGCCGGGGAUGGCAUCAUCCCCGCGCCAAAGGCGCAAGCCGCUGGAGGAUGGGACUGCGGCCUAUCAGCUUGUUGGCGGGGUAACGGCCCACCAAGGCGACGACGGGUAGCUGGUCUGAGAGGAUGAUCAGCCGGACGGGGACUGAGACACGGCCCCGACUCCUCCGGGAGGCAGCAAUGAGGAAUAUUGCGCAAUGGGCGAAAGCCUGACGCAGCGACGCCGCGUGGGUGAGGAAGUCCCUCGGGAUGUAAAGCCCUUUUCUCGGGGACGAAACGGACGGUACCCGAGGAAUAAGCCCCGGCUAACUACGU